AGCGAACGCUGGCGGCAGGCCUAACACAUGCAAGUCGAACGAACCCUUCGGGGUUAGUGGCGGACGGGUGAGUAACACGUGGGAACGUGCCUUUAGGUUCGGAAUAACUCAGGGAAACUUGUGCUAAUACGGAAUGUGCCCUUCGGGGGAAAGAUUUAUCGCCUUUAGAGCGGCCCGCGUCUGAUUAGCUAGUUGGUGAGGUAAAGGCUCACCAAGGCGACGAUCAGUAGCUGGUCUGAGAGGAUGAUCAGCCACAUUGGGACUGAGACACGGCCCAAACUCCUACGGGAGGCAGCAGUGGGGAAUUUUGCGCAAUGGGCGAAAGCCUGACGCAGCCAUGCCGCGUGAAUGAUGAAGGUCUUAGGAUUGUAAAAUUCUUUCACCGGGGACGAUAAUGACGGUACCCGGAGAAGAAGCCCCGGCUAACUUCGUGCCAGCCGCCGCAGUAAGAC
rnacentral:rRNA from 1 species